UAACACUACGAAUCAUAUGUUUAUUGUUUACAAGUUUAUUUCCUGCGACGCGAUUUUAUUGGACUUUAGUCAUCCAAAAUGUUGAAUUUAAAGCACUUGGCCAGCCACGCCUACCGCCAGUACGAGCUCGUAACCUGCAUCAAUAUGCUGGAGCCCUGGGAAAGGAAGUUGAUCAAUGGAUUCUUCCUGAUCAUGCUGUCCCUGGUGAUCUUCUCCAGCUUCAUGUAUCUACCGGACUAUCUGCAGACCCUGCUGCAGUUCAUAACGCCACCCACUUGGCAUAGUUCUCCAGAAAAUUCAGCCUAUGUGGCACAGAAAAUGGCACGGAGCUAAGUUCCCUCAUAUCUUAUAUGUACUUCCGGUAGAAACCCUUGCCCACACAUACUCCCUAUAGAAAGACAACUAUGAUUUAACCUUUAUGAUAUAAUUGUGAUUCACCUCGACUGGUCCAAGAUCUACAGAUUACAAUGGCUUCCACGAUUCGCAAAGCGGAUGUGUUGAAGAACAGGCCAACCAGACCUCCAAGGGAAACUAAAGGAUAAUAUUAUCGUUUAAAAAAUAUAAUACUUCCAUAAAGUUUUGGAGCUUACUCAAGAAAUCCAGGAUAGUUUUGGUCACACGACGAACAUAGCGUUGAGUGGGCAGCUCGACGAGAGCCACUCGGAUUGUAGAGACAUCAUCUGAGGCUUCAUCAUCCCUAGAAAUUAAUAGGAGAACCUAUUAUAUAAGCUUAGUUACUCAAAACUUAAAUCACUACUUCCAUUCGAUUCGUUAAAAGGAUGAUUUUGUUAUAAAUGUACUUACUCAUCCUCCGAGUUGUAGAUAAUAUUGUACUCCGGCUCCUCACAGGAGCUCAUGCACUCGCAGGACUUGCGCUCCGUCAUGAUCUUGUCCCGGAUCCGGGUGAGGCAGAUCAAACCGCGAUAGUCGCAGGCAGCAAGGUUAUUCUGACCAGGAGUGGCCAUAAAGUGGCUGGUGCAGUUGCAAUUUUCUAGCUGCAGGUGCACGGUACUUAGAAAUAUAUAAACGAAUACCAUAAA